rnacentral:lncRNA from 1 species
CCACACUAAAAUAACAAAACAAGUUACCAAAUUUAAGUUACAAGAUUUUGGUCUUAAAAUCCAACAAGCCUCCAAAUAACAUACAUAAAUGUGACAUAUAUAUAUAUAUAUAUCAUGUACAUGUCCCAAAACUAUGCAAAAUCAAGGUACAUAUGCAAAUGUGAUCUCCGUAAGUUCUCCCAAAUAGAGUACUUCAUCAUGGCCAUCUUCAAAUUUCAUCCCGAACAUUACCUACGAUAGGAAACAACUAUUGCUAAGCAUAAAGCUUAGUGGUGUAUAAACUUUAGGCUUGGAGUCAUUAAAUUCUCCAAUUCCCCUUUUCAGUCAUAGUUAACUCAAUUUAACAUAAUUUAAAACAAGUGAACAAAUAUAUCAAACAUAUCAAUAUCAAACUUUGAAGUGUUUCCAAAUAUCAAUAACAAUGUUCAAGAGUCAAGAAAAUGUAUACUAUCAAUCUAAGAGAGUAUACCAAAUAUCUAUUUUUCGCUCAAUAUGUACGUCAUGCCAUCACACUAAGCAUAAUCAGAUAUCAAGAUGGAUCGAAGCCCCAAAUCAAGUAGGGUCAAAACCCAAUAGACAAGAGAAUCAAGAACCAUAUUAAAAAUGGCUUCCUAAUUCGUACUUAACACGGAAAAGUUCCAUAAUUCAAGACGAACUACAAAUCCAAAGUCAAGAUGGCAAAAGAUCCGAAUCAAGAGGCAUGCCAAGAUGAGUGACAAAGUCACUGCCACAAGAAGGAUAAAGUCCCAACAAGAAUGCAAAAUGAUCAAACAAUCCGUACGAAUGGGUGAUUUAACAAAUAUCUUACAAUACUUGAUAUAAUACGAAUAUAACAAUAUAAAUUGAAGACAAGAAAAAUAAAAUAUCAGGUUAUUUCAAAAUAUUGCAGCAAGAAAAAAGAGUACAAGUUUAUACACAAACCUUGGUGUUUUACCACAAAACAGUUCAAUCACAACUUGGGGACGUUUGAAUCGUCUACGCCGUAAACAAACCAAAUCUGUCCACUUCCUCAAACACUUCCCCUCUGAUUUUUCAAGGGUUUAUAUACCUUAAAUACAUAAUGAAAUAUCUAAAUAAGUUCAGUGAUUUAACAUGUCAAACUAAACAUGAUAUUGGUAAAUUACCCAAAAAUGUUUGAAACAGAAAUUCUGGACAGUAUCACUGUUUCGUGUUGUGACUCAGUUUGGAAGAUCUAUACAGACAAACUAGACUGUAUAGUCUUCAUAAUAGUUGUAGAUCUAUGCCUUAGCGUUUCAGAACAUCUUGAAUCACCCCCAUAUCAAUUUUGUACAGAAAGUUAUACUAAAAUUACUAACAGUAGUACAUGGAGUAUUUCUAAAACUGGAAAUCUGGGCAACACUUGCCCUGUACUUUCUGAUCCUUUUUCAGGUAAAUACCAACAAAGCUAGAUUUUGAUUCCUUCAUAAGAGUUAUAGAUUUGUGAAGUACCUUUCCAGAAAGUCCUGGCUCACUUAAAUCGGAGCUCUGUAUAAAAAGAGUUAUAGAAAAUACUAAUAGAUGUCUAGUGUAAAAACGAGUUUAGAAACUUACCACAAAAGAGAGUAGCAACUUGAUCUUCACCAAAAACGAAAUUUGCUUGUUGAUUUAGUAGAAAUCUAUGGUUGAUUCAUGUUCAGAUGCUAAGAAGGAGAGAGAGAGAGAUUCUUCUUUG